rnacentral:tRNA from 1 species
CAAGUCCUGUAGUGCGCAGCACGCCGAAUUGCAAAUUUGGAGACGCCCCAAAAGUGGCCCGGACU